UCUUCCUCUCACUCAUACGAGUUUCAAAUUCUUUUGAACUUUAAAUCUUCAAUUCAAACUUCUGAUUCAAAUGUUUUUGCUUUAUGGAACUCAUUUAACUCACCUUGCAAUUUCUACGGAAUUCUUUGCAAUUCCAAACUUUCUGUUACACAAAUAAACCUUCCAAACAAAUAUCUCACCGGCAUUCUUCUUUUUGAUAUCAUAUGUAGUCUUCCGUGUCUUGAGAAAACUUUCCUGGAAUCAAAUUUUUUGCAUGGGAAUAUCACGAAGGGUUUGAAAAAUUGUACAAACCUCAAGUACUUGGGUUUAGAUGGAAAUUCAUUCAAUGGUCCUCUUCAUGAGUUUUCAUCUUUGAUUAAGUUAGAGUACUUGAGUCUAAAUUUA
rnacentral:lncRNA from 1 species